rnacentral:rRNA from 1 species
UACGUAGGGUGCAAGCGUUGUCCGGAAUUAUUGGGCGUAAAGAGCUCGUAGGCGGUUGUCGCGUCGUCCGUGAAAACCCACAGCUCAACUGUGGGCUUGCGGUCGAUACGGGCAGGCUAGAGUUCGGUAGGGGAGACUGGAAUUCCUGGUGUAGCGGUGAAAUGCGCAGAUAUCAGGAGGAACACCGGUGGCGAAGGCGGAUCUCUGGGCCUUACCUGACGCUGAGGCGCGAAAGCUAGGGGAGCAAACAGG